rnacentral:rRNA from 1 species
GACGAACGCUGGCGGCGUGCUUAACACAUGCAAGUCGAACGGAAAGGCCCUGCUUUUGUGGGGUGCUCGAGUGGCGAACGGGUGAGUAACACGUGAGUAACCUGCCCUUGACUUUGGUAUAACUUCAGGAAACUGGGGCUAAUACCGGAUAGGAGCUCCUGCUGCAUGGUGGGCGUUGGAAAGUUUCGGCGGUUGGGGAUGGACUCGCGGCUUAUCAGCUUGUUGGUGGUGUAGUGGCUUACCAAGGCUUUGACGGGUAGCCGGCCUGAGAGGGUGACCGGCCACAUUGGGACUGAGAUACGGCCCAGACUCCUACGGGAGGCAACAGUGGGGAAUAUUGCACAAUGGGCGGAAGCCUGAUGCAGCAACGCCGCGUGCGGGAUGACGGCCUUCGGGUUGUAAACCGCUUUCGCCUGUGACGAAGCGUGAGUGACGGUAAUGGGUAAAGAAGCACCGGCUAACUACGUG